rnacentral:rRNA from 1 species
AACGAACGCUGGCGGCAGGCCUAACACAUGCAAGUCGAGCGCCCCUUCAGUGCUCAGCGAUUGAAGCUGAGUACUGAUGGGGGAGCGGCGGACGGGUGAGUAACGCGUGGGAAUUUUCCUCAAGGUACGGAACAACUCAGGGAAACUUGGGCUAAUACCGUAUGAUGCAGAGAUGCCAAAGAUUUAUCGCCUUGGGAUAAGCCCGCGUCAGAUUAGGUAGUUGGUGGGGAACGCCUACCAAGCCUGCGAUCUGUAGCUGGUCUGAGAGGACGAUCAGCCACACUGGGACUGAGACACGGCCCA